rnacentral:rRNA from 1 species
AACGUGGGUGAUAAGGUCCAUGUUCGAAAGGGAAACAGCCCAGACCACCAGCUAAGGUCCCAAAAUAUAUGUUAAGUGGCAAAGGAUGUGGUAUUGCCCAGACAACUAGGAUGUUGGCUUAGAAGCAGCCAUCAUUUAAAGAGUGCGUAAUAGCUCACUAGUCGAGUGACACUGCGCCGAAAAUGUACCGGGGCUAAACAUAUUACCGAAGCUGUGGAUUGUCCGUAGGACAAUGGUAGGAGAGCGUUCUAAGUGCGUCGAAGCAUGAUCGCAAGGACAUGUGGAGCGCUUAGAAGUGAGAAUGCCGGUGUGAGUAGCGAAAGAUGGGUGAGAAUCCCAUCCACCGAUUGACUAAGGUUUCCAGAGGAAGGCUCGUCCGCUCUGGGUUAGUCGGGUCCUAAGUCGAGGCCGACAGGCGUAGACGAUGGAUAACAGGUUGAUAUUCCUGUACCACCAUUUAUCGUUUUAAGCGAUGGGGGGACACAGUAGGAUAGGCGAAGCGUGCUGUUGGAGUGCACGUCUAAGCAGUGAGACUGAAUGGUAGGCAAAUCCGCCAUUCUCAAGGUUGAGCUGUGAUGGGGAGAGGAAACAUGUUUUCCUCGAGUCGUUGAUUUCACACUGUCGAGAAAAGCCUCUAGCUAGAUAACUGGUGCCCGUACCGCAAACCGACACAGGUAGUCAAGAUGAGAAUUCUAAGGUGAGCGAGAGAACUCUCGUUAAGGAACUCGGCAAAAUGACCCCGUAACUUCGGGAGAAGGGGUGCUCUUUAGGGUUCACGCUCUGAAGAGCCGCAGUGAAUAGGCCCAAGCGACUGUUUAUCAAAAACACAGGUCUCUGCUAAACCGUAAGGUGAUGUAUAGGGGCUGACGCCUGCCCGGUGCUGGAAGGUUAAGAGGAGUGGUUAGCUUCUGCGAAGCUACGAAUCGAAGCCCCAGUAAACGGCGGCCGUAACUAUAACGGUCCUAAGGUAGCGAAAUUCCUUGUCGGGUAAGUUCCGACCCGCACGAAAGGCGUAACGAUUUGGGCACUGUCUCAACGAGAGACUCGGUGAAAUCAUAGUACCUGUGAAGAUGCAGGUUACCCGCGACAGGACGGAAAGACCCCGUGGAGCUUUACUGUAGCCUGAUAUUGAAAUUCGGCACAGCUUGUACAGGAUAGGUAGGAGCCUUAGAAGCGUGAGCGCCAGCUUACGUGGAGGCGCUGGUGGGAUACUACCCUAGCUGUGUUGGAUUUCUAACCCGCGCCAUUGAUCAUGGCGGGAGACAGUGUCAGGCGGGCAGUUUGACUGGGGCGGUCGCCUCCUAAAGUGUAACGGAGGCGCUCAAAGGUUCCCUCAGAAUGGUUGGAAAUCAUUCAUAGAGUGUAAAGGCAUAAGGGAGCUUGACUGCGAGACCUACAAGUCGAGCAGGGUCGAAAGACGGACUUAGUGAUCCGGUGGUUCCGCAUGGAAGGGCCAUCGCUCAACGGAUAAAAGCUACCCCGGGGAUAACAGGCUUAUCUCCCCCAAGAGUUCACAUCGACGGGGAGGUUUGGCACCUCGAUGUCGGCUCAUCGCAUCCUGGGGCUGUAGUCGGUCCCAAGGGUUGGGCUGUUCGCCCAUUAAAGCGGUACGCGAGCUGGGUUCAGAACGUCGUGAGACAGUUCGGUCCCUAUCCGUCGUGGGCGUAGGAAAUUUGAGAGGAGCUGUCCUUAGUACGAGAGGACCGGGAUGGACAUACCUCUGGUGUACCAGUUGUCGUGCCAACGGCAUAGCUGGGUAGCUAUGUAUGGACGGGAUAAGUGCUGAAAGCAUCUAAGCAUGAAGCCCCCCUCAAGAUGAGAUUUCCCAACUUCGGUUAUAAGAUCCCUCAAAGAUGAUGAGGUUAAUAGGUUCGGGGUGGAAGCAUAGCGAUAUGUGGAGCUGACGAAUACUAAUCGAUCGAAGACUUAAUCAA